UGAUCGAUGAGCUGUCAGGUGGCAGGGUGCUGGCCAUGGAGCUUGUACAUGGAGUCCCACUGGACCGCUGCGUAGACCUGGACCAGGAGACUAGGAACCAGAUCAGUUUCAGAAUCCUCCAGUUGUGUCUCAGGGAGGUGUUUGAGUUCAGGUUCAUGCAGACGGAUCCAAACUGGGCCAACUUCUUCUACAACUCAGACACCAACAAGGUUGUUCUGUUGGACUUUGGAGCGUGCAGAGGCUACCCAGAAGCAUUCACAGA